AGCUUUGUGUUUUUAUACAAAGUAAAACCUGCCCACUGAAAUUUUUAAAUGGCCGCAGUACCUUGACUGUGCUAAGGUAGCAUAAUAAAUUGACUUUUAAUUGAAGUCUUGUAUGAAAGGAUUAAUGGAUAAUUGCUGUCUUAUAUUAACUUAAUAAAAAUUACUUAAAAGGUGAAAAUUCCUUUGUUUUAAUAUAAUAGACGAGAAGACCCUAGGAGUUUGAAUUGUUUUGUUGGGGCGACAUUGUAGCAAAUAACCUACAUAAAUUUAAGGUAUGUAAAACGAAAAUUUUUAAUAAUAAUUAAACUACCCUAGGGAUAACAGCAUAAUUUUAUUUAAGGUUUGUGACCUCGAUGUUGGACUAAGGACAUUUAAAGUUAACAGCGUUGAAUGAUAGUUCUGUUCGAACUUUUUACCUU
rnacentral:rRNA from 1 species